rnacentral:misc_RNA from 1 species
GAUGAAGAACGUAGCGAAAUGCGAUAAGUAAUGUGAAUUGCAGAAUUCAGUGAAUCAUCGAAUCUUUGAACGCACAUUGCGCCCGCCAGCAUUCUGGCGGGCAUGCCUGUUCGAGCGUCAUUUCAACCCUCGAGCCCCCCCGGGGGCCUCGGUGUUGGGGGACGGCACACCAGCCGCCCCCGAAAUGCAGUGGCGAACCCGCCGCAGCCUCCCCUGCGUAGUAGCACACACCUCGCACCGGAGCGCGGAGGCGGUCACGCCGUAAAACGCCCAACUUUCUUAGAGUUGACCUCGGAUCAGGUAGGAAUACCCGCUGAACUUAAGCAUAUCAAUAAGCGGAGGA